UCGGGUGUUAGUACCGGCACGUCGGCCGGACGUAUGUCGGCAGGCGGACACGUGUCUCGUGCUUCCGGCGCGCCGCGCGACCACGCGUCGCGCGGCCGUCGGUGUUCGACGACGGCGGCCGCUACUCCAAUCUUGCUGCGCGGUGCUCUUCACCGAGUGCCGUCGGCGGGCCGACACGUUUACUUUGAACAAAUUAGAGUGCUCAAAGCAGGCUCGAAUCUGGCGGGGCGGCUUCACGGCCGUCUCGUCAAAAGGCCCUGAAUACUGGUCGCAUGGAAUAAUGGAACAAGACCUCGGUCCCGCGCAUCUCCGCCCUUCGCGGGCGCGCGAAAUCGCCCUCCGGGGCGUUUCCGUGCGCGGGCCGCCGGGCCGCGGGCGCCAGUCGCCCGCGCGUCCCGCCGGGCCGGUUUUCGGGACCGGAGGUAAUGAUCAACAGAGACGGGCGGGGGCAUUCGUACCGAGACGUUAGAGGUGAAAUUCUUGGAUCGUCUCGAGACGAACUGACGCGAAAGCAUUUGCCAAGUACGUUCUCGUAUGAUCAAGAACGAAAGUUAGAGGUUCGAAGGCGAUCAGAUACCGCCCUAGUUCUAACUGUAAACGAUGCCAGCUAGCGAUCCGCCGGCGUUUCAUUAACGACCCGGCGGGCAGCUUCCGGGAAACCGAAGCUUUUCGGUUCCGGGGGAAGUAUGAUUGCAAAGUUGAAACUUAAAGGAAUUGACGGAAGGGCACCACCAGGAGUGGAGCCUGCGGCUUAAUUUGACUCAACACGGGAAACCUCACCAGGCCCGGACACCGGAAAGAUUGACAGAUUGAGAGCUCUUUCUUGAUUCGGUGGGUGGUGGUGCAUGGCCGUCUUAGUUGGUGGAGCGAUCUGUCUGGUUAAUUCCGAUAACGAACGAGACUCUGUCCUGCUAACUAGGCGGGUAAACCCGGGUCGGCGUGUGCGCGGCGCUGGCGGUUUCGGCCGUCAGUGUUCGCGUACCCGUCGGCUCGGCCCGGUAUCCCCGAACGCGUUCGCCCGUCGUCCACGGCGGUCGUCGGGCGCGGCCGCGCCAUCCGCGUCCCGGCGUUCGGCGGGCGUAUGUCGGCCGGGGGGCAACCUCCGGUCGGCCUGCGUCCGUCGUGCGUCGGGCUCCGUGGUGAAGCGCGCCGUGUUCGCGGCCGUCGCCGGCGGAUCACGAUACGUUACUAGGGCUACCGCCGGCUCCCAGGAGCUUAAACUCUUCUUAGAGGGACAGGCGGCGGACGAACAUAGCCGCACGAGACUGAGCGAUAACAGGUCUGUGAUGCCCUUAGAUGUUCUGGGCCGCACGCGCGCUACACUGAAGGAAUCAGCGUGUUUAACAAUCCUGGGCCGACAGGCUUCCGGGUAACCCGCUGAACCUCCUUCGUGCUUAGGGAU
rnacentral:ncRNA from 1 species